CCUGACGCAGCGACGCCGUGUGAGGGAAGAAGGCUUUCGGGUCGUAAACCUCUGUCGGGAAGGAAGAACCCCCCAGGUCCGAAUAGGGCCUGGGGCUGACGGUAUCUUAGGAAUAAGCACCGGCUAACUCCGUGCCAGCAGCCGCGGUAAUACGGAGGGUGCAAGCGUUACUCGGAAUCACUGGGCGUAAAGAGCACGUAGGCGGCCUUGCAAGUCAGAUGUGAAAUCCAACGGCUUAACCGUUGAACUGCAUUUGAAACUGCAAGGCUAGAGUAUGGGAGAGGUAGGUGGAAUUCUCGGUGUAGGGGUAAAAUCCGUAGAGAUCGAGAGGAAUACUCAUUGCGAAGGCGACCUGCUGGAACAUUACUGACGCUGAGGUGCGAAAGCGUGGGGAGCAAACA
rnacentral:rRNA from 1 species